UUGUGUUUAUUGUAAGAAUAUGGUGAAUUUGUGGAGGUGUCAUUUAUACGUUGUGGGUGAAGCUCUAUGAGGACGAUAUGCCUUAAUUAUAGUAGGGGUGUGUUCAAAUUCAAAUGGAUCCAAAUAAAAAUCGUAAAUCGAACCAAAAAAAUCGCAAAAACCGAAUAUGUCUGAAUGUCUUUUUGUGAAAACCGCUAGGUCACGUCAAAUUUUGGAUUGGUUUUUCAAAACCGAUCUAAACUGAACCAAAUCGCAUACAUAUAUUUUUAAUAGUUAUUUAUCUUUUUAUUAGUAUGAUAUAUUGCAUAACCUAUUAUUUGUUGGAUAUCCAAAAAUCGAUCCAAAUCAAAUCACAUAAAAUUGGAUUGAAUCACACUUUUUUUAAUUUGUUAUUCAAAACUAAAGCGAACCAAAAAUAAAUUUAUUUUUGGAUCGGAUGAUUUUUGCCUUAAAACUGAUUCAAACCAAACCACAAUCACCCCUAUGCCACAUAUACACAAUCAUGUGGUUAGUUUUCUCAUUGCUCAAUGUUGGUCAAUUCUUUCUAUUUAUCACUUGAGUAUAUACGGACAAUAACCAACAAAAAUAUUGGCUUCAUGAAAACACUGAUUUUCACAUGGCUAAAAUUGAAACAAAUAUGUGGAUGCCUAAACUAGAAACUGUAAAACGGAAAUCCAAAGAUGCAUUUGGACUAAAUUAGCAACUACAAACAAGCAACCAACAAAACACACAAACAUGUUAUUAAUUAGAACCUCCAAUUGAAUAAUCAACCGACUAAUUUAUCACUAUUGAAGUUAUAUAUAAAAAUUCCAAAUUUUAAGACCCUAAACUAUCGAUUUUUCAUUGAUUACCUUAGUGUUGUUUCAAACUUGUUGGUGGAUUUGUCACAAUUGUAUGCAUUUGGAUUAGUAAUUUGUUUGAAAAAAAUUAAUUUUAGAGAGAAAUUGAAAGACAAAAAAAAAAAAGAGAAUAGUAAAAAGUGUUUUACAGCUUUAUGUAAGUGUUGCAAAACAAAAAAAACAGUGGGAGCAAAAUAAAAAAAAAAUUAAAAUAAGAAUAUUGUUGAAAAUUUUAAAAAUCUAGGUGCAUCCUUCACGAAGGACCCAUUUGGUUCUAUGAAAAGAAAGUAGGAGGAAAAAACAUUACACAAAUCAAUACAUGAACUUAGACUAAAGUUAAUCUAAAUUCAUAUAUUGGUAUGCGUAAUUUUCUUUCUUUCUAUUUUUUUUCCAUAGAAACAAACGGAUCAUAAAAAUCAGGAGGAGGAAAACAUUUACAAUAAUGAUUACGAUAGCAUUUUCCAACCCAAGGAGCUACACAAACAAUAUAAGCGCAUUCAUGAUCCUCCUUGCAAAGUUUAUAUAUUGCUGUGAUACAAAAAAAAAAUAAGAAACAAAUUUUACUAUAACAGUUCAAAUAUUUUGUACAAUAAGAUAAUCAAGAAACUUUAAAGGAAUACGAAAUGGUUUACUUACCACUAACAUCAGUUACCACAAGAAACAAGGAAAUAAAAAUGAUCGUUAAAUAAACAAAUUUAAUAUUUUCAGCCAUACUUUUUCUAGCUAUAGACAUCAAUUUAUUUGAUCACUUUAUGCUGUAAGAGUUCUGAGUUUUGUUUAUUUGUUUAAA
rnacentral:lncRNA from 1 species